rnacentral:rRNA from 1 species
AUUCUCAGUUCGGACUGUAGGCUGAAACUCGCCUACAUGAAGCUGGAGUUACUAGUAAUCGCAGAUCAGAAUACUGCGGUGAAUGCGUUCCCGGGUCUUGUACACACCGCCCGUCACACCACGGAAGUUGGGGGCGCCCGAAGCCACUUAGCUAACCCUUUUGGGAAGCGAGUGUCGAAGGUGAAAUCAAUAACUGGGGUGAAGUCGUAACAAGGUAUC